rnacentral:rRNA from 1 species
UACGAAGGGUGCAAGCGUUACUCGGAAUUACUGGGCGUAAAGCGUGCGUAGGUGGUUUGUUAAGUCUGAUGUGAAAGCCCUGGGCUCAACCUGGGAACUGCAUUGGAAACUGGCUUACUAGAGUGCGGUAGAGGGGUGUGGAAUUCCCGGUGUAGCAGUGAAAUGCGUAGAUAUCGGGAGGAACAUCUGUGGCGAAGGCGGCCGACUGGGCCGACCCUGACGCUGAGGCGCGAAGGCGUGGGGAGCGAACGGG